ACGAACGCUGGCGGCGCGCCUAACACAUGCAAGUCGAACGGAAUCAAGAGGAGCUUGCUUUUCUUGAUUUAGUGGCGAACGGGUGAGUAACGCGUGAGUAACCUGCCCUGGAGUGGGGGACAACAGUUGGAAACGACUGCUAAUACCGCAUAAGCCCACGGUACCGCAUGGUACUGAGGGAAAAGGAUUAAUUCGCUUCAGGAUGGACUCGCGUCCAAUUAGCUAGUUGGUGAGGUAACGGCCCACCAAGGCGACGAUUGGUAGCCGGACUGAGAGGUUGAACGGCCACAUUGGGACUGAGACACGGCCCAGACUCCUACGGGAGGCAGCAGUGGGGGAUAUUGCACAAUGGGGGAAACCCUGAUGCAGCGACGCCGCGUGGAGGAAGAAGGUUUUCGGAUUGUAAACUCCUGUCGUUAGGGACGAUAAUGACGGUACCUAACAAGAAAGCACCGGCUAACUACGUGCCAGCAGCCGCGGUAAAACGUAGGGUGCAAGCGUUGUCCGGAAUUACUGGGUGUAAAGGGAGCGCAGGCGGACCGGCAAGUUGGAAGUGAAAUCCAUGGGCUCAACCCGUGAAUUGCUUUCAAAACUGCUGGCCUUGAGUAGUGCAGAGGUAGGUGGAAUUCCCGGUGUAGCGGUGGAAUGCGUAGAUAUCGGGAGGAACACCAGUGGCGAAGGCGACCUACUGGGCACCAACUGACGCUGAGGCUCGAAAGCAUGGGUAGCAAACAGGAUUAGAUACCCUGGUAGUCCAUGCCGUAAACGAUGAUUACUAGGUGUUGGAGGAUUGACCCCUUCAGUGCCGCAGUUAACACAAUAAGUAAUCCACCUGGGGAGUACGACCGCAAGGUUGAAACUCAAAGGAAUUGACGGGGGCCCGCACAAGCAGUGGAGUAUGUGGUUUAAUUCGAAGCAACGCGAAGAACCUUACCAGGUCUUGACAUCCGAUGCAUAGUGCAGAGAUGCAUGAAGUCCUUCGGGACAUCGAGACAGGUGGUGCAUGGUUGUCGUCAGCUCGUGUCGUGAGAUGUUGGGUUAAGUCCCGCAACGAGCGCAACCCUUAUUGCCAGUUACUACGUAAGAGGACUCUGGCGAGACUGCCGUUGACAAAACGGAGGAAGGUGGGGAUGACGUCAAAUCAUCAUGCCCUUUAUGUCCUGGGCUACACACGUACUACAAUGGCUAUAACAAAGAGAAGCGAGACCGCGAGGUGGAGCAAAACUCAGAAACAACGUCUCAGUUCAGAUUGCAGGCUGCAACUCGCCUGCAUGAAGUCGGAAUUGCUAGUAAUCGCGGAUCAGCAUGCCGCGGUGAAUACGUUCCCGGGCCUUGUACACACCGCCCGUCACACCAUGAGAGUUGGGAAUACCCGAAGCCUGUAAGCUAACGCAAGAGGCAGCAGUCGAAGGUAGAAUCAAUGAUUGGGGUG
rnacentral:rRNA from 1 species